CAGAAUGUGAAAUAAGGCCAUGCGUUUGCCGGUGUAUGGUCUGCAUGGUGUGUAUGCGUUUGAAAAACGGGUCCUGCGCAAUUCGUCCCCGUGAACCAUGUCAGGUGGGGAACCAAGCAGCAUUAAGCGGAUCGUCGGAUGUGCCGCAGCCAGCCUGUUUUGAGUAUAUGCAACUGCACAUAUUCCCGUGUGGGACGUAUGGUCUUAUUUUG
rnacentral:SRP_RNA from 1 species